UGGCCGGCGGCGUGCCAGCGCCAGCGUCGUCCUUACCCUCUCUCUGUUGUGUAGUCCUCUGCUACAGCCGCCCCAACUCCAGCGAUAGCGUUGACCCGUAGGCUCCUACCCAAGCGUAUUUUUAAGGGUAGACAUACAGGAUCCCGCAGGCUUCGUCUUCUCUUCGGGAAGAGACUAAAAUAGAACAAAGGAACUGUGCCUGGAUGAACACAAGCAGGGAACCUUGUUAUAGACUUGGGAUGCUGUCUGUCUUGUGGAUUGGGGACCAGAGGAUGCUGGUCUGCAGAGAAUGGUGACUUGAAUGUGAGAUGAAAGCAGAACUGGCCAUGAGAAGCCUCUGUCUAUUUUCCAGCCUCUCUUGAGGUUCCAACCUUCUCCUGAGACCCAGCUGCAUGCCUUGAGUGGGCUCGGAGGCAACUUGCCAUGCAGAUAAACAGCACCCUCAUCAUCACCAAAAGGAACAAGGAGGCUGCCAGUCUCUGAGAGCCUGGGGAAUCUGAAGAGAGAAACCACAUUUCCUGCUCACUCAAUGCCCAAGGCCUGGUCCUGAUACAAAUGAUGAGAGACACUGCAUGCCUGGUCCUUCCUCGGGCCAGCAUCUGAUCACCAUCCUGUUACCUUGGAGACCCAGUGCUGAGCCCUUGCAUGUGUUCACAAAGCCCGGGAAUGGUUUCCCAUGCUUAAGCCAGAGUUGGCGUCUCUAAGCCACGUGGGAGAUCAACUGGAGCUUCUCCUCCUGUGUUCCAUUAGCCUGUGGCGUUGGCCUCUCCUCUGGGUGCCCAACAUGCAUUGUCUGCCCCUAGGCUUGUUCUUUGUGCUCGGGAAGCCAGAUGCUUUACGGUUUAAUUACAUGCUGCAGUUGGAAGUACAGAAUGUCAGCGCUGGAAAGGAAGGACCUCGUUACAGAUAAUAGCUACCAACGUUUAUUGAGCAUUUACUCUGUGCCAGGUGCUGUGCCGGGCCUGUUUCCAGGCAUGGCCUUAUCUAACUUUUGAAGCAUCGUCAAUGUUCUGCACAAAGAAACUGAGGCUUAAGGGAAGCUUCAGAGUAUUUCCCAAAGUAUUCUAGGUGGUACUUUGUAGCACAAAAUAGCAGUUGAUAUGGGAGGGUCCCAUUUUCAAAUGCCACAUCCCGAUUCCCCAUGGGGAGCUCCCAAAACUUACCACAUGCUUACAACCCAGAGAAGUCUUGCAGCAAAGAAACCUGUUUGGGUCCGUGUCUCUUAUGUGUCAGACUUCACAGAACUACUGCUCCUGAGAGGACAGUUUGAGGACUGCAGAA